rnacentral:rRNA from 1 species
UUCUGGCUCAGGAUGAACGCUAGCUACAGGCUUAACACAUGCAAGUCGAGGGGCAGCAUGUGGUUGCUUGCAACCAAUGAUGGCGACCGGCGCACGGGUGAGUAACGCGUAUCCAACCUUCCCCUUAGUAGAGGAUAGCCCGGCGAAAGUCGGAUUAAUACUCUAUGUUCUUCAAUGCGGGCAUCUAAGUUGAAGCAAAGAUUUAUCGCUAAGGGAUGGGGAUGCGUCUGAUUAGGUUGCAGGCGGGGUAACGGCCCACCUGGCCUACGAUCAGUAGGGGUUCUGAGAGGAAGGUCCCCCACACUGGUACUGAGACACGGACCAGACUCCUACGGGAAGCAGCAGUGAGGAAUAUUGGUCAAUGGGCGCGAGCCUGAACCAGCCAAGUAGCGUGCAAGGACGACUGCCCUAUGGGUUGUAAACUGCUUUUAUCAGGGAAUAAAGUGAGGCACGCGUGCCUUUUUGUAUGUACCUGAUGAAUAAGGACCGGCUAAUUCCGUGCCAGCCGCGGC